rnacentral:misc_RNA from 1 species
GAAAUGCGAUAAGUAAUGUGAAUUGCAGAAUUCAGUGAAUCAUCGAAUCUUUGAACGCACCUUGCGCUCCUUGGUAUUCCGAGGAGCAUGCCUGUUUGAGUAUCAUGAAAUUCUCAACCUUUUCAGCUUUUUUGGGCUGAUCAGGCUUGGAUUGUGGAAGUUGCAGGCUUCACAGAAGUCUGCUCUUCUGAAAUGCAUUAGCAGGAACCUCUUGUGGAUCAGCUUUGGUGUGAUAAUUAUCUACGCUAUUGCUGUGAAGCAUGUCCAGCUUCUAACUGUCUCUCCGGAGACAAAUCUCUUCAUAUUUUGAUCUCAAAUCAGGUAGGACUACCCGCUGAACUUAA